GGAUCACCGCAGGUAUCUCCAUUCCAGCCGUCAGGGGAUGCUGUCAGUUUCCCAGUCUGGACGCCACCCAACCUCCCCAGCCCUCUUCCUUCCAUCCCUGCCCCCCUGCAGCCGUGGCACCCAGCAGUGCGAUGCAGCAAUACCUCUGGUGUGCUGAAUGCUGGGGCCGGCACUGAGAGGCUCUGUGGCCGACGUGGAUCUUCCUGGUUGGACUGCUUGCUCCCUUUAGGUAUCAAAAGGCUGUUACCAGGUCACCUCGGAGCCUUCGCUUCUCCGGGCUGAACAGCCCCAGCUCUCUCAGCCUGUCUUUGGAGGAGAGCUGUUUGAUCCCUUGGUUCUGUUUUUUUUUUGUGGCCAUCCUCUGAUGUGAUCCAACAGAUCCAUGUCUCUUUUGCACUGAGGACUCUACAUCCCGACACAAUCUCUAGAUGUGGAAUUGUGCAGAAUAUGGACUCAGGUAAGGGAAGCCUCUUUACUUCACAAGUCCUACAGGAGCUGAUGAGAACUUUAGAAAUAGAGUGGGAGCUCCAUACUCUGUGGCAUCCUCCUUCUUCAGGGAAAUUAGAAUGAAUCAAUCAGAUGCUGAAGAAGCACUUGUCAAAAUUGGUUUCAGAGACCAAAUUACCAUGGACAAAGUGUUUGCCUGUAGCCCUUGUCAGAACACGAACCACUCACAGAAAAGGCUUAGGAGUAUCACCACACGAAGUGCUGUUUGGGUGGCCGUACUUGGGAGGGAGGGGUGAGAUGCCCGCUCUUGAAACCGAGGUGCACUCAUCCCGUGUUGGAGACUGGUCCUAAUACGCGCCUGGCAGAAAUCAAGGCUUCAGCCUGAGUGGGAGGGACUAUUUCAGGUACUGCAGUGGAUGUCGCCUACCUUGACUUCAGCAAUGUUUUGUUACAGUCUCCCACAACAUCCUGGUAAUGAAGCUGAGAAAGUGUGGGAUAGAGGAGUGGAUGAUGAGGUGGGCUGAGAACAGGUUUACUGGCUGAGCUCAGUGGUGGUGAUCGGCAGCACAGAGUGCAGCUGGAGAGCUGUGAGCGGCGGUGCUCCCGGGGGUUGGUGCUGGGUCUGGUUGUGAAAGGUAGAUUGUGUUUGUGCUGUAGAAGCUUUGAGUAUUUUCUGUAUGUAGUACUGGCUUUACUGAACUUACAGCCCUCUUGUGAAAGAGCUGUUUGCCUUCUACUAAGGAAGUUGCUGAGCAGAGUUAAAAAGUUAAAGAUUCGGGGUGUUCUGAUUGGGGUGGAAUUGAGCCAGGCACAAAAUAAGGCAAAUAUGCAGGGUGGUGAGAGAGAGGGAGCUCGGCACAGGACAGAACAAAUGUGCUCACUCUUGGAAAUAUGGCCCUCGUAUCUCCAUAGAGAAGUACAAAACAUACCAAAAAGAGCAGGUUGGUAAUGGACCUUAUAUGGAACUACAUCAUAGCAACAGCGUCGGGGAGAUUGUGAGCCUAGACGCUCAACCAGUGAGUGCCAGGAGAGCAUUGCCUGCGUCGGGUUCAGAGUACAGAACAGAAUGAAUUUCUCUGACCGAUGUGCAAUUUUUCCCUUAUUAAC